ACGAACGCUGGCGGCGUGCUUAACACAUGCAAGUCGAACGGAAAGGCCCUGCUUUUGUGGGGUGCUCGAGUGGCGAACGGGUGAGUAACACGUGAGUAACCUGCCCUUGACUUUGGGAUAACUUCAGGAAACUGGGGCUAAUACCGGAUAGGAGCUCCUGCUGCAUGGUGGGGGUUGGAAAGUUUCGGCGGUUGGGGAUGGACUCGCGGCUUAUCAGCUUGUUGGUGGGGUAGUGGCUUACCAAGGCUUUGACGGGUAGCCGGCCUGAGAGGGUGACCGGCCACAGGGGGACUGAGAUACGGCCCAGACUCCUACGGGAGGCAGCAGUGGGGAAUAUUGCACAAUGGGCGGAAGCCUGAUGCAGCAACGCCGCGUGCGGGAUGACGGCCUUCGGGUUGUAAACCGCUUUCGCCUGUGACGAAGCGUGAGUGACGGUAAUGGGUAAAGAAGCACCGGCUAACUACG
rnacentral:rRNA from 1 species